GAUCAUGGCUCAGGAUGAACGCUAGCGGCAGGCUUAACACAUGCAAGUCGAGGGGCGAGCAUAAUGGAUAGCAAUAUCUAUGGUGGCGACCGGCGCACGGGUGCGUAACGCGUAUGCAACCUACCUUUAACAGGGGAGUAACACUGAGAAAUUGGUACUAAUACCCCAUAAUAUCAUAGAAGGCAUCUUUUAUGGUUGAAAAUUCCGAUGGUUAGAGAUGGGCAUGCGUUG
rnacentral:rRNA from 1 species